GUUGCUCUAUCAAGACUCUGUCUGUUGUUUUGAUGUUUCGUUUAUGGACACAUCUUUCGCUGAAUGUUGGCUGACUGGCGCUGAGGCUGAGGCUGGUGGUGAUGGUGUUGGUUUUCAUUCUAGCUGCUCCUCAUCCAUUGGUCUGCCAGGCAUUUUCAGCACUACAUCGGCCGAAAUGUGCUCGAUGCGUUUCAGUUUGUAAAGAUACGUCGUGCUUGCAACAACGUUGUUGGCCUGUGCAACGACGACGCCACGUCUCUUUUUUUUCUGGUGCCUCUUAAAAAAAAGGCGCGUCACAACUCACAACAGCAUCCAACCAACCGUCAAACCGCAAAACUCAAAGAACAAAAAAAAAUCUGAAAAAAAAAAACAAAAAAAAUGAUUCUUAAAGGGGGAAAUUUCAUGCCAACUUUGUUCGUCCGGCAUCCAUUGGCAUUGUUCUCCGACCUGUGACAAUAACUUAAAAUAGAAACAAAAGGGAGAAGAAACCAAAACGCAGCAGCAGCAGCCGAAGAAGACACAGAUGAAGACAGACGAAAAAAUUGAAUUUAAAUGCAUUGUUUGGUGAUUCAAUCUCCCCAUCCCUCAGAAAAAUCUGAAGAAUAAUAAAUGAAAUCUCAAAUGCAACUCAAGAAAUAAAUAUUCUGAAUUAAGAAAAAGAAAAAAAAAUUGUUGAAAAAAAAUGUUAAGUGAACGGCUUUUAAUUUUUUAGUGAUUUACGAUAUGCAAAAUUGUUGAAGAUAAUAAAUUGAAUUUCUUGUUUUUUUAGAAUUAAUUUGAAAAGUUGAUUUGAAAAAAAAAAAUACAAAACAACAAAAAUAAAAAAAAAAAAUAGUGGAGUGAAGUGUGUACUUAAAAUUACGAAACGUUUAAUGCUGGCCGCAUGAAGUGUUUUUUUUUUUAAACAAAAAACAGGUUUUUCCAAUUUUUUUUUUCGCCGAGAACUAUUCAAUUGAUAUGCUAAACAUAUUAUCGUGAUCGGUUCGGUCCGCUCCGGUCGCUUGUCGUUGGACGUUCGUUCGUUCGUUGUCGCAUCAAUGUUUGCAUUUUGAUGCCAUUCAGUGGCCGCUGUGUGUCUAUCGCCUGUCCGGUCAGCCCGUCAUUCAUCCAGUCAGCCAUUCAUUUAUCACAUCAUUGUUUGACUUGAUGUCAAACAACGACUGCUGAUUGCCACCAACCAAAUCACCCCGCCCUGAGGAGAAGAGCUCUGGAAAUCUGCAUUAUUAUCGGAACAUAAUAUUGGCAGCAUUUCGAGGAAAUUUCGCAGGAGACGAAGAAGAGGAAAAAACUGCAGUUCAGGAAAAAGCCUCUUAAAUGGUAUUUGUGAUAUCUUAUCCAAGUGUUAAAGACUUUUUUCCUGGCAUUGAUCAUCGGAGACGUCUGCCAGUCUGCUAAAUGGUAAAAGAAGAAGAAGAAAGCCACAAGACCACGACAAUAACAAAAAAAAAA
rnacentral:sRNA from 1 species